rnacentral:rRNA from 1 species
GACGAACGCUGGCGGCGUGCCUAAUACGUGCAAGUCGAGCGAAGUUUUUCUGGUGCUUGCACUAGAAAAACUUAGCGGCGAACGGGUGAGUAACACGUAAAGAACCUGCCUCAUAGACUGGGACAACUAUUGGAAACGAUAGCUAAUACCGGAUAACAGUAUUUCUCGCAUGGGAGAUAUUUAAAAGUUGGUUAUGCUAACACUAUGAGAUGGCUUUGCGGUGCAUUAGCUAGUUGGUGGGGUAAAGGCCCACCAAGGCGACGAUGCAUAGCCGACCUGAGAGGGUGAUCGGCCACACUGGGACUGAGACACGGCCCAGACUCCUACGGGAGGCAGCAGUAGGGAAUCUUCCGCAAUGGGCGAAAGCCUGACGGAGCAACGCCGCGUGAGUGAAGAAGGAUUUCGGUUCGUAAAGCUCUGUUGUUAGGGAAGAAUGGAUAUGUAGUAACUAUACAUGUAAGAGACGGUACCUAACCAGAAAGCCACGGCUAACUACGUG